UACGUAGGCAGCGAGCGUUGUUCGGAGUUACUGGGCGUAAAGAGUGCGUAGGCGGUUUUCUAAGUUUGGUGUGAAAUCUCCCGGCUUAACUGGGAGGGUGCGCCGAAAACUGAAAGGCUUGAGUAUGGGAGAGGUAAGCGGAAUUCCUGGUGUAGCGGUGAAAUGCGUAGAUAUCAGGAGGAACACCUGCGGUGUAGACGGCUUACUGGACCAUAACUGACGCUGAGGAGCGAAAGCCAGGGGAGCAAACGGG
rnacentral:rRNA from 1 species